rnacentral:lncRNA from 1 species
AUGGACGAAAACCGAACUAUGGCUCAAAUCUCGGGGACCAACCAUGAAACUAUUUUGAAGAAAGAAGAUCACAAGCAAAAGAGAGGAAAAUGGAGCAGAUUUUAUAUGACCAAGUCGUUGCUCCUGUUGUGAAAUUUAUGGCAAGUCAUAUCACGAAACACCUAGGAUAUGUGUUUUGCUCUACAAAACAUGUUACGGGCAUGAAAGAUAAAUUGAAAGAUUUGGUGGAUACAAGCACUGAAGUUAUAGAGCACAAGAACAGAAACGAAACAAAUGAUAAAGAGAUACCUGCUCGUGUAGAGGCUUGGUUGGGAGACGUUGAGAAGGUCAAGGAUCAAGUCCAAAGCAUCCCAAAUGAUGACAUUGGAUGUUUGCACAUGAAAAAUAGGUAUCGAGUGGGAAGAAACGCUUCUAAGGCUACUAUGAGGAUCCAAGAACUUAUUUCAAAAUAUUCUGAGUUUACUUGGACCGAUGCCCCAUUGCCUACUGGAAGAGCCACAUCCUCCACCACUUCUACACCGUUAUCAUCGUCACCGGGUGGAGAUGACUUCAAGUCCAGAG